GGGAGGAAAUAACACAAGAGGCAAAGAUCACUCGGGACCACCUUGUAUAUUGGCUACCACAGAACCCAACACAAGCAGUAAGUUAAAAUCAUGAAGCUCCUGACGUCAGAGGACAUGGCUCUGCCAUUUGUUAGGUAGGGAUCCUGUUAAAGGCUCAGCUUCCUCAUCUGGAAAUGGAAAUAUAGGCCUUGCCUGGUUUGCUGUAAUGGGUCGUGAUGAGGACCAAACUACAAAGAGUGGUACAGAUGUUAAUUACAAUGAUUUUUCCUAUGCCACCCAUGGAAACAAAAAUAGCAAGAUAGAGAAGGCUAAAUCCCAGUUUUUUUUGACUGCUAUUCAGCAAAGCCUAGGAGACUUUCAUGACACCUGGAGAGGCGGCCGUAGUGUAUGUGUAAGAGUACCGGUUCCAGAGUGGGGCUCCCCGAGCUCAGCCCCACCACUUACCAACAGCGGACCUUGGGCCAGAUGCUGAAGCCCUUUGUGCCUUGGUUUCCUGACCUAUUACUGUGGAAAUGAUGACAGUACCCUCCUCAUGGCAUCGUGAGAAUUAAAUUAGCUAAUUCAGGUGAAGCAUUUAGAAGAGGACCUCCUGACACUUAAUAACUGCUUGAUAUAAAUAAUAGCUUCUGCUACAGAGUGGCCAUGAAGUCUGGACAUGUAGAUAUUAUAUUAUCAUGCAUCAUAAGAAACUCAGAAUCUCCUAGGAGCUCAAAACAACACCACCAACAACAACAACACCUCUUCUCCAAGCCGCAGACUCAGGAAAUGUGAUUCAUUCAAUCUGCCUGGGGUGGUCUAGGCAUAGUACUUUCUUUACCUUCUAUCGCAUUAGGUGCAGAGUCAAUGUGACUUGAGGGCGAGAAUGAGUUCACAUCUCCUGGCUGCUCCUCUAGCUCCCCUAAUGGUACACAGCCAAUGGUCACAGGCCUCAUUUCACAGAAGGAAGCACAGAUGGGCUGUGACAUUCCAAGGAAACAGCUUAAAUGACGGGAAGAAAUGGAAAUGGGAAUAGUUAAUUUCCCAACCCAGACCUCUAGGUCAGCCCAGGGACCCCAGGGACUGGGGAAGUUUUAAAAAAUGCCUCUUCUUGUUCCUCAAA
ensembl:lncRNA LINC01968 long intergenic non-protein coding RNA 1968